rnacentral:rRNA from 1 species
CCCUUAGAUGUCCUGGGCAGCACGCGUGCUACAAUGAUGCAUUCAACGAGUCUUGCCUUAACCGAAAGGUUCGGGUAAACUUUUGAAAUUGCAUCUUGUCGGGGCUUGAUCAUUGUAAUUUUUGAUCACAAACAAGGAAUUCCUUGUAAAUGUGAGUCAUCAACUUGCAUUGAAUACGUCCCUGCCCUUUGUACACACCGCCCGUCGCUUCUACCGAUGAAUGAUCCGGUGAACACUCUGGACUUGUUGUCCGUCGGAGCAAUCCAAAGACGAUAGGGAAGUUGUGUAAACCUUAUCAUUUAGAGGAAGAAGAAGUCGUAACA